rnacentral:rRNA from 1 species
UACGGCGUCGAGCGGCGGACGGGUGAGUAAUGCCUGGGAAUAUGCCUUGAUGUGGGGGAUAACCAUUGGAAACGAUGGCUAAUACCGCAUAAUGCCUUCGGGCCAAAGAGGGGGACCUUCGGGCCUCUCGCGUCAAGAUUAGCCCAGGUGGGAUUAGCUAGUUGGUGAGGUAAUGGCUCACCAAGGCGACGAUCCCUAGCUGGUCUGAGAGGAUGAUCAGCCACACUGGAACUGAGACACGGUCCAGACUCCUACGGGAGGCAGCAGUGGGGAAUAUUGCACAAUGGGCGCAAGCCUGAUGCAGCCAUGCCGCGUGUGUGAAGAAGGCCUUCGGGUUGUAAAGCACUUUCAGUCGUGAGGAAGGUGGUGUCGUUAAUAGCGGCAUCAUUUGACGUUAGCGACAGAAGAAGCACCGGCUAACUCCGUGCCAGCAGCCGCGGUAAUACGGAGGGUGCGAGCGUUAAUCGGAAUUACUGGGCGUAAAGCGCAUGCAGGUGGUUAGUUAAGUCAGAUGUGAAAGCCCGGGGCUCAACCUCGGAACUGCAUUUGAAACUGGCUGACUAGAGUACUGUAGAGGGGGGUAGAAUUUCAGGUGUAGCGGUGAAAUGCGUAGAGAUCUGAAGGAAUACCGGUGGCGAAGGCGGCCCCCUGGACAGAUACUGACACUCAGAUGCGAAAGCGUGGGGAGCAAACAGGAUUAGAUACCCUGGUAGUCCACGCCGUAAACGAUGUCUACUUGGAGGUUGUGGCCUUGAGCCGUGGCUUUCGGAGCUAACGCGUUAAGUAGACCGCCUGGGGAGUACGGUCGCAAGAUUAAAACUCAAAUGAAUUGACGGGGGCCCGCACAAGCGGUGGAGCAU